rnacentral:snoRNA from 7 species
AAGUGAAAUGAUGGCAAAUCAUCUUUCGGGACUGACCUGAAAUGAAGAGAAUACUCUUGCUGAUCACUU